rnacentral:lncRNA from 1 species
AACAUCCCUUAUAUAUAAUAUAUAAUAGGACAAAACUUUCUUAAUCUGGCUAUAGUAUUUUGGACAGAGGCUAGACCCAAGAGAUUAAAAGAAUUAAUCAUGUUAGGGCUAGAAUAGUUCUAUAAUAGGUAACCUACUGUUAAGCAGGGCAUUACAUUUCGUUUCAGAACCAAUUCACCAACUAAAAUGUGAGAUGGAUUUCACAUUGCCUUUUGAGCUUGGACUAUAUGUAUGAUUGGGCUAACGAGGAUAUUAAGAACUCCACGGAAGAGUCUGUGAUACCCUAAUAGUUCCCUAUUAGAUGUAAAUGAGAUUGUGAUUAGAAAUAUAACAAAUCAUGGACCUUAAUAAUAAUAACUGAGCUUAAUUAUUUUGGAACAGUAGUUGGACCUAAUGAGUUGAUUUUUUUUUUUUGAGAGAUAGGUAGAACGUUACUCGUUUCGUUUAUUUCAUUUAGAAAUAAACUUAGUUGGAAAUGUGAAUCAACUAGGAUUCGAACUUGGGACCUCGGGUACUAACCACCAAGUCCUUUGCCACUUGCUCUAGAGACGGUCGGUCUAAUAAGUUAAUAUUAUUAACAGGUAGAAUCGUUGUAGUAGGUUUCGAGCGGACCAUAAAAAGAUAAA